rnacentral:tRNA from 5 species
GCGGGAUUAGUUUAAUGGCAGAACUAAAGAUUUCCAAUCUUUAAGCAGGGGUCCGAUUCCCCUAUCCCGCUCAA